AUGUGGGCAUGCUCACACGAGCAACUUUCCUGGAGCAGUGGCCGGGUGCCAAAGUGACUGUCAUGAUUCCCUACUCCUCCACCUUUACCUGGUGUGGAGAGCUUGGCGCCAUCUCUGAAGAAUCUGCCCCACAACCAAGUUUGAGUGCCAGAUCCCCGGUCUGUAAGAACAGUGCCAGAUAUUCUACCUCAAAAUUUUGCGAGGUAGAUGGAUGCACAGCUGAAACUGGCAUGGAAAAGAUGUCUCUGCUCACUCCAUUUGGAGGCCCACCUCAACAGGCUAAGAUGAACACUUGCCCAUGCUACUACAAGUACAGCGUGAGCCCACUGCCUGCCAUGGACCACUUGAUCCUAGCUGACCUAGCUGGCCUGGAUUCUCUCACUUCACCUGUUUAUGUGAUGGCAGCAUAUUUUGAUUCUACACAUGAAAAUCCUGUGAGACCAUCCAGCAAGCUUUAUCAUUGUGCUCUACAGAUGACAAGUCAUGAUGGGGUGUGGACUUCAACUUCCAGUGAGCAGUGUCCCAUUAGACUGGUUGAGGGCCAGUCUCAAAAUGUGCUGCAGGUCCGGGUGGCUCCGACAUCGAUGCCUAACCUGGUUGGGGUCAGCUUGAUGUUGGAGGGGCAACAGUACAGGCUGGAGUAUUUUGGGGAUCAUUGAUACUCAGUAACUUAAGAGGAAAUUUUUUUGUUAAAAAUAAAGUUAUUUUUAAAAAA
rnacentral:tmRNA from 1 species